rnacentral:misc_RNA from 1 species
AAUUUUGGCCAUUGGAAAGAAUAUAGCCAGCAGAUUACAUUAUUAGAAAUAAAGCAACACCACAAACAUUACCACAUUAAUAUAAAAUACAAUACAUCUCCUAUGGGAAAAACAAAUCUUCUAUCUCAUUUAUAUUCAGAUAGCCAACUUUCUUAAUGAAGCAUAGACAACCUUCUUAACAAAGCGCCUACAGUAACAUCAUCAAACCAUAUUUAUG